rnacentral:rRNA from 1 species
GACGAACGCUGGCGGCGUGCCUAAUACAUGCAAGUCGAGCGGAUGAGAAAGGAGCUUGCUCCUUUCGAUUCAGCGGCGGACGGGUGAGUAACACGUGGGCAACCUGCCUGUAAGACUGGGAUAACUCCGGGAAACCGGGGCUAAUACCGGAUAACUCAUGAGACUGCAUAGUCUGAUGAUAAAAGAUGGUUUUGCUAUCACUUACAGAUGGGCCCGCGGCGCAUUAGCUAGUUGGUGAGGUAACGGCUCACCAAGGCGACGAUGCGUAGCCGACCUGAGAGGGUGAUCGGCCACACUGGGACUGAGACACGGCCCAGACUCCUACGGGAGGCAGCAGUAGGGAAUCUUCCGCAAUGGACGAAAGUCUGACGGAGCAACGCCGCGUGAGCGAUGAAGCCUUCGGGUCGUAAAGCUCUGUUGUUAGGGAAGAACAAGUAUGAGUUAACUGCUCAUACCGUGACGGUACCUAACGAGAAAGCCACGGCUAACUACGUGCCAGCAGCCGCGGUAAUACGUAAGUGGCAAGCGUUGUCCGGAUUUAUUGGGCGUAAAGCGCGCGCA